rnacentral:rRNA from 1 species
AGGACGAACGCUGGCGGCGUGCUUAACACAUGCAAGUCGAACGGAAAGGCCCUUCGGGGUACUCGAGUGGCGAACGGGUGAGUAACACGUGGGUGAUCUGCCCUGCACUUCGGGAUAAGCCUGGGAAACUGGGUCUAAUACCGGAUAUGACUACGGGAUGCAUGUUUCGUGGUGGAAAGCUUUUGCGGUGUGGGAUGGGCCCGCGGCCUAUCAGCUUGUUGGUGGGGUUAAGGCCUACCAAGGCGACGACGGGUAGCCGGCCUGAGAGGGUGUCCGGCCACACUGGGACUGAGAUACGGCCCAGACUCCUACGGGAGGCAGCAGUGGGGAAUAUUGCGCAAUGGGCGAAAGCCUGACGCAGCGACGCCGCGUGGGGGAUGAAGGCCUUCGGGUUGUAAACCCUUCAGCAGGGACGAAGCGAAAGUGACGGUACCUGCAGAAGAAGCGCGGCUAACUACGUGCCAGCAGCCGC